AACGGCUCACCUAGGCGACGAUCCCUAGCUGGUCUGAGAGGAUGACCAGCCACACUGGAACUGAGACACGGUCCAGACUCCUACGGGAGGCAGCAUG
rnacentral:rRNA from 1 species